AAAGUCGUAACAAGGUUUCCGUAGGUGAACCUGCGGAAGGAUCAUUACAGAGUUGAGGUGACCUUGUGGCUGACCCCUACGGGGCGUUCGGCAGGGGUUAUACUCCUCACCACCCGUGUUUACCAAACCUGUUGCUUCGGCGGGCCCGCCGCUCGUCGGCCGCCGGGGGACGAUCGUCCCCGGGCCCGUGCCCGCCGAAGACCCCUCGAACACUGCCUGAAGGUUGCUGUCUGAGUGAAAAAUAAACAAAACAAAACUUUCAACAACGGAUCUCUUGGUUCCG
rnacentral:misc_RNA from 1 species